rnacentral:lncRNA from 1 species
AGAGAUGUGAAUGACAGAACAUUAGGAUUAACUUGUAUCUUAAGUGCUCCUGCUGGAGCACUCACUGUUGCUGUAUAUGUAGACAUUGGUGAUCCCACAUUUGUGACAGUCCUGUUGAAGGUGCGGCUAACUGGUUUCAAGAGUGAGGUAAAAAGUGAAAACGAAGGAUAGUUUAGAUCCCAAACAGUUGGGAAAUUGCAGAAUUAUCUCUAAAGAAUUGCCCAAGAUCUAACCCAAUCAAUAGAAUAAAAAAAGAAAGAAAUCAAGCACACCCACAAGAACACAAGAAUUUACGUGGUUCAGUCUUUUGAUGACCUACGUCCAUGGGCACAACAACAGAGAAAAAUCCAUUAAGAGAAAAAUCAGGAGAUUACAAAAAACAGUCUCAAACUCAUAACCCUUAUCCCACGUACACCUAAAUCACUCUCUCUAAAUCUAGGUGAUUAUUAUUCUUUAACCCAUAGGGUCCUUUUAUAGUAUCAAAUACAAUAACCUUAUCCUAAUUUAAUUAGGAAUCUUAUCCUAAUAGAAUUAGGAAUUGUUAUUCUAAUCUUAACUAGAUUUAAAGACUAUUUAAUAAGGUAUACUAAUUUAAUUAGAAUUAAACAAUCCUAAUUAAAUCACAAUUCAAGACUAUCCUAACAAAUCUCCACCUUGGGCUUGAAUUCACCAAGCUCCACCUUACGAACCAAUCUCUGUCGACACCGCCACUGCCCCAAUGGGCCUCAAGCACUACGAACACCGAUCAAGUCCAAGCAAUGCUUGAACUUUAUCCCAGAAACUGACUUAGUUAGCAUAUCUGCCGGAUUUUCAUCUGUAGCUAUUUUCUUUACUACAAUCUCACCUUUAGAAAUAAUCUCUCGAACGAAGUUACACUUGACUUGGAUGUGUUUGGUUCUCUCAUGAAACAUCUGAUUUUUAGUCAAAUGUAUAGCACUUUGACUAUCACAAAACACAACUGUUUGUGUUUGUUCAAAACCAAGAUCACUAACCAAGCCUUUAAGCCACAAAGCCUCCUUCACUGCCUCGGUCACAGCCAUAUAUUCAGCUUCAGUUGUAGACAAAGCAAAGGUUGAUUGAAGAACUGCUUUCCAACUGAUUGCAGAUCCUGAGAGAGUGAACACAUACCCCGUUUGAGAUCUUCUACUAUCUAGAUCACCAGCAAAAUCUGAUUUGGAGAAGCCAACCACAUUACGACUAAUGUUUGCACCUCCUUCACACACUAAGCCAACUUCAAUAGUAACUUUAGGUGUUUUCACAAGCUCCCAUGUUUGAUCCCAGUGUAGAGACUCAAUCUUCUUAGAAGACUCGACAUAUAUAAUUUUCUCAUGAUAAAAGUAAGGCUCUUCAAUCUCUACUUCCACAAAUAAAACAUAAGAAUCAAAAUCACCAUCAAUACAAGUAAUGCUUCGUUGAGAUACCAAUUCUUGUACCUCUUGCAAUUCUUUCUGGAUUUCACUAUCAUCUCGCACUGUCACAAGAGCAUUGAUUUCAAGCUCCACCUGCUUGCCAACUUCUUGGUUUGAUGUGUUUGCAAUUCUAGACUUUAUCCCACAAAGUAAUGCAGACUUGUCAAAGGUAACAUCCCGACUCACCAUAAACUUGGGGAACUUACAAUCAGUACACCACAACCAAUAACCCUUCACCCCAUAUGCAUAGCCUAGGAAUAUGCACUCUGUCGCCCUCAACUCAAGUUUACCAUCACUCACAUGAACAUGAACAGGACAACCAAAUACUCUCAAUAUAAAAUAAUCAGCAGGCUUACCAGACCAAACUUCCUUGGGAGUCUUAAAUUCAAUUGCAGUUGAUGGAGACCGAUUUACCAAGUAACAAGCCUUGUUGAUAGCUUCUGUCCAAAAUACUUUGGUUAGGCCAACAUUUGAGAACACGUAUUUUGCUCUCUCCAAAAGUGUUUUCUUCAUCAAUUCUACAAUAUCGUUUUGAUAUGGUGUUUUGUCGACAGUGCGAUGUCUAACGAUUUUCUCAUUCUUGUAGAAUAGACCAAACUCACCUUUGCAAAAUUUCAAACCUUUGUUUGUUCGAAAGCUCUCGAUCCUUUUCUUAGUCUGCUUCUCGAUCAAUACCUUCCAAUGCAAAAAGGUGGUUAACACUUCACUCAUAGCCUUUAGAAGAUACGUCCACACCUUUCUUGAAAAAUCAUCAAUAAAGAUCCACAUGUAUAAUGAUCCACCUUUUGAUACCACCGGAGAAGGAUCCCACAAAUCUAAAUAGAUGUAGUUUACUGUACCCCUGGUUUGAUGAGUUUUAGUGCUAAAUUUCACUCUACGUUGCUCACAGAAAUCUAGCUUUCCACUCUUUUGACCACACAGCAAACUAUGCUUACUUAGUUUUCUAAUCCCUCUCUCGCUCAUAUGACCAAAUCUCAUAUUCCAUAAACGUGUUACAUCAUCUUCAGGAUCAUUAGAUGAGACCACAGAAACAGUUUCAAUGACCGUGUUUCCCACUAGACAAUAAAGGUCACCGGAUAACUUGCCCUUCAUGAUAGUUAAGGCUCCUUUAGAUACAUUCAAGACACCAUCUUGGCCACUAUAUUUGUAGCCCUUCUUAUCUAACAAACUCAAGGAUAUUAAAUUCUUUUUCAUGUCAGGGACAUGUUUUACCUCAAGUGUUCUUACCAUACCAUCAAACAUCUUGAUUCUAAUUGUGCCAAUUCCAACAACUGAGAGAGAGAAAUCAUCUCCUAAUUGUACAGUGCCCAUAUUAACAGAUUGAUAAGUUGUAAACCAAUCACGCCUAGGACAUAUAUGAAAGCAACAAGCCGAAUCCAAGAUCCAUGUAUCCAUCAGGUUACAAUUAGUAAUUGCAAGAACAUUAUCAGUUUCCUCAAAAGUAUCAAAGUCAUCUCCAACCACGUUUGCAGUAUUCUCAGACUUAUUAAACUUUUCAUCAUCCUUGAAUUUGAUACAGUCUUGACGAAAAUGCCCUUUCUGACCACAAUUCCAGCAAGUUUUCCCUUUUGCUCUAGAUUUACCUUUUCUGUCUAAGCCUUUCUCUUUACCUCUACCUCUAUUUACAACCAAACCUUCUGCUUGAUUUUCAUUCCGAAUACCACCAACUUUCUUCUUUAAUUCCUUGGAAUUUAAAGAUGCCCUUACAUCCUCGAAAGUGAGAGUGUCUCGGCCGUAAAGCAUAGUAUCCACGAAAUUUUCAUACGAUGGAGGCAAAGAACAUAAAAGAAUUAGGGCUAGGUCCUCAUCCUCAAUUUUAACAUCGAUAUUCUUUAAAUCAAGAAUAACUCUAUUAAAUUCAUCAAUGUGGGUAUUAACGGACGUACCUUCACUCAUCUUGAGAGUAUACAAUCGUUGCUUCAUAUAAAGCCGAUUCGUCAGGGACUUGGUCAUAUAAAUACUUUCGAGUUUAAACCACACUGCAGCAGCAGAUUCUUCAUCCGUGACUUCUCUUAGCACCUCAUCAGACAAAGCAAGGAGAAUAGCACUAUGUGCUUUUUCCAUAAGGUCAUCUUUCUCACCAUCAGAUAAAUUCGAGGGAAGAUGUUCUUUUCCCUUCAGUGCCUUCAACAGUCCUUGUUGCACUAGCAAUGCGCGCAUCUUAACACGCCACAGGCUAAAAUCGUUUCUUCCAUAAAACUUUUCAAUCUCAUACUUGGUCGACGAAAUUGCCAUAGUGAGAUUCAGAUUGACCCAAGACCUUGAAGCUCUGAUACCAGUUUGUUGGGAAAUUGCGGAAUUAUCUCUAAAGAAUUGCCCAAGAUCUAACCCAAUCAAUAGAAUAAAGAAAUAAAGAAAUCAAGCACACCCACAAGAACACAAGAAUUUACGUGGUUCAGUCUUUUGAUGACCUACGUCCACGGGCACAACAACAGAGAAAAAUCCACUAAGAGAAAAAUCAGGAGAUUACAAGAAACAGUCUCAAACUCAUAACCCUUAUCCCACGUACACCUAAAUCACUCUCUCUAAAUCUAGGUGAUUAUUAUUCUUUAACCCAUAUGAUCCUUUUAUAGUGCCAAAUACAAUAACCUUAUCCUAAUAUAAUUAGGAAUCUUAUCCUAAUAGAAUUAGGAAUUGUUAUUCUAAUCUAACUAGAUUUAAAGACUAUUUUGUAAGGUAUACUAAUUUAAUUAGAAUUAAACAAUCCUAAUUAAAUCACAAUUCAAGACUAUCCUAACACAAACUGUUCCAUUUGUAGCUUUAGAACAAGCAGCAUUAUCCCUAGUGACUAGUUGUAGAAACCGAGUGCUAUAUCCUUGUCCGCAUAAAAAUUUUAUGUAGUCAACUUCCUCAGAAUCAUAUACUAGACCAGGAUUGACAGCCUUGAUAGGAUUCAGAUGGCCUGAGCCGUAUGCAAAUUCAGCAUCCAAGUUAAUACCGGAAAUCAUAAGGAAGGCUGCAAGGAAACAUUCCAAUCGGGAAAAUUAACUGCAGUCAAUGAGAUUUUGUAGUUUAGGGAGACAGUAGUGUAGUAGUCAUAGCUAUUACCGUGGUCAUAAGGGCAGAUUUGAGAGCAGCAGGAGACCAUGUGGGAUGAAAUGAUUUAACGUAGGCAGCUGCUGCAGAAACAUGGGGGCAAGCCAUUGAUGUUCCUGAGAUUAUGUUGAAUGGCUCCAAUCUGUUAUCGCCUUUAGUUUCAGAAACAGGGGAAAUUAAGGACCAUGCAGCUAGAAUGUGGACUCCUGGUGCAGAUAAAUCUGGCUGUGAUUGUUAACAACAAUUUAAUGUAAUAAUCAGUCAUAUAGAAGGGUAUAUGUACAUAAAGAUUAAUUUUUCAUCAACUUGCCUUGAGUAUGUCAGGUGUAAUUGGAUUCGGACCCCUUGAUGAAAAAGAGACUACAUAAGGAGCCAGUGAGUCAUUAGCCUCAUUACUCUUAAAUAUAGUUGCAGUUGGGGUACUGUAAUUUGUUUCAAGAUGAUAUAUGUAAGUGUUAGAAAAUCCUUUGUUACCUUUACAAUAGAAAGUUGUGUAAAAAUUAUACUUGAUUAAUUAUAUAAAAAAGGAACAGAAAAUUUCUUCUUGUGUUGCUACCUUAUCGAGUUUAUAUAUGCAAAAAUCUUGCUGCCAUCAGCUAGAUCAAGGUAAGAUGCAGGUAAAGGAAACGAGUGAGUAUAGUCAUUCGGAAGCUGGUCUCACAUCACUGUACCAACUGCACCAGCUGAAAAAGGUCCUCUCCCACGGCUUAGCUUAUCACAAGGAACAAUCUUACCCUUUACCAAAUUUUGAUCCAGUGAAUUCUGAUUACAAUACCUGUGCUUCAAGAAUCAAUUCCAUAAUCAGAUAUUAUGAGUAUGAUCUUUCUCAUACUUGUAUUUCCAUUUUAUGGUCACCCUUAUAUUAGUUUCAAGCUUCUUAUCACUAGAUUUUUAAGAAAAAAUGGCUAGGUUUCUGAUAUUACCUGGCUGAAGACCUUGACGCAUUAGGACUGGCUGCAUCUCCACCAUAAAUCAUAGGGUACAUUUUAUUCUGGAGAUCAAAGGUAUUUAUCGAUACCCCCUGGAUACAAGCCAGAUAAGCAAACAUAUAUUCAAACGAAAAGGCAUUAUAGUUGCAAUAAUGGAUCUAAAUGCAUUUUAUUAACAAGGAAAUCCAAUUGUGAUUGCCCAUAGCUUAACUGGUUACUUGACAGUCAUAUUUCUUUAAAGAGGAUCUCUCUGGUUUCACUUCCUCAUCUCCAAAUUAAACUUAAUUAGCAAUAUUUAUUUUUACCUAAGAGGAUUGGAUUAAUAUCAAUGAUAUUACCUCAUAAAUCUUACUGUUGCCAAGCUGCACCUUGGUGAAAAACUUGCGGUCUAUCGUGCUAGCAGCCACAGCAAGGGACCAUGGUGAAAAAUUUGAGAUGGUAGAACGUUCGGGGCCAUCAUUACCUGCAGAAAUUACUGUCAAUACACCAUUUUUCAUGGCAUGAAAGGCUCCGAUUGCAAUAGGAUCUCUGAAGUAGUCUUCAGGACUAUGUCGUCCAACUGAAAGAGAAAUUAUGUCAACCCCAUCUGCAAUUGCAUCGUCAAAUGCUGCAAGAAUAUCAGCAUCAUCGCAACCAUCUGACCAACAAAUUUUGUAAGCAGCUAUACGUGCUGAUGGGACCCCUCCUCGAGCUGUUCCUGAGCCAAAACCAAACAGGCUUGCCCUGUCAACUAACUUCCCUGCUGCUGUUGAUGCCGUAUGAGUCCCAUGGCCAUCAGAGUCUCUCGGAGAAUUGAUGUCAUUUGGGCCAAAGAAUCCAACACUGCGGUAAUGUUGUCCACCUAUGAUCUUACUGCAUUUGGAUAGCAAUAUUUGUCAGACAAGUCAAGCACUAAUCAGACUGAUGACUCUCCAAGACCAUAUACAAAUUUAUAUUCAUGUUUUUGAGAUGCAUACUUGUUGCAAGUGAAAUUGCCACCUGCAGUUUGGCAACUGCCUUUCCAUUUCUUGGGAGGUGGACCAAGUCCUUGGUCAUUAAAGCUUUCAGAUUCAGGCCAAAUCCCGGUGUCUAAAACCCCAAUGAUAACAUCACUUUCCAGAUCUGCUCUUUCGACUUGUUGGGAGAAGCCCAUAAAGUCCCAUGAUCUUGUUGUAUGGAGGUUUUUCUUUUCAUUCGGAAACACAGAUACUACACCAUUCAUUCCUAAAACGUCCAAAGAUGGAUUAAACAGUUUCAAGAAACAAAUAUCAUGGUGAAAUUAUAUUCACUUACCAGCCAUUUUCCCUGCCUCUUCCUCCGUUAGCUCCACCACAAACCCAUUAAAACUCCUUUUGUAGCUGUAGAGCACUGACUUCUUAAUAACAUCAGUGCAUUCAUUCCAUUUGAAUAGUCAAGUCAAUGCCUCGUCAAUGUAAAUGUGACAGCGAUGAGUAUUUCCUUAUACCUGCCAUAGACAUCUUGUAGCAUGCUGCUAUGAAGCAAGGAAGUGGAAGUUCCAUCACUAGGCUGGUCUCCCAUGUACACAAUAUAGCUCUACAAGUUCAAAGGUACAAAAACAAAGUUCAUCAAAAAAAGAGAAAUAAGUUAAAGCCAUGAUUGUUUUAGGCAUGAUCGGAUAUGAUGAAGCAGAUGACUGAAAAAAUAUGCAAAUGGAAAACCCAAUUAAUCAAUAUACAUAAAUAUUGCCUUUCUAUUAGUAUUGGAUUGAGAAUGAGAUGUUGCCCUGUUAGUAAGCAGAGCCAAGAGAACGCCAUGGAGUAGAAGGCGGGGAAGAAGAUAUUUUCUGCCUUUCAUUAUUGGAAGAAUGGUUUCAUACAGACUUUUCCAAGUACCAGGCUGGAAAAUGUGUUUUGUCCAAGUGUUUGCUAUGCAUAUUUAUAGAUUCAAUAACUGAGAAUUUUCUUCUGUCAAGAUUUUUUUUUCUUAUGGAUAUGAAUAUCCCAAGUUUAACAACCAUUUAUAUGGAUUUUUAUAGACAUGCAAUUGUUAAAUUGGAACCACCAAAAUGAUGUAAGCACUUGACCUUGACCUCGACUUUUGACAGUCUUGCCCAGAAGAAGGGUAAUGCUUGAAGUGAGGACCUAGGAACCUUCCUCACUGGCUAAUGAAGAAAAAAGUUUAACACGCCACUUUAAUAUAAUAUACCCAUUUCCUAAAACUAAAGUCUCUAUUUAAAUUGUCCCAAAAUUAAAGUUACAUGUUUAUUUGCAGUGUCAUAGGCUCACAGCCACUUUUCCACAUUUGUUCUUCUUCUAUCACAACAAGACCAGGGAAUUUGCAAUGUGAAAAGAAAAGAGUACUACUUAUGAAAGACUAGCUUUGAAUUCAACGUGUUUUAGUAGAAGAGAAAUAGGAUAAAUUAUUAAAAAUUUUUGAUAAUUCAUAACUAUGAUAUUGAAACAAAUACAGUGAUGGGACUCCUGACUUUAUGUACUCCAUCAUCUGUUGCGAUUUUAAGAGUAUUAGCAAUGAACAAGCAGAAGUAGGAAGAACAGAGAAUGAAGAAUCUGGAAAAACAAAUUGGGGAGCACAAAACAGAGGCUCUCACACACAUUUCAUCUAUUCAUAUUCCUUUAUAUACUGAGUGCUUAACAAGAAAUAACCAAGAGAUUAGCAACCGCAGAGAAUCUCGAAGAAAGAGAAUGAAAACGGUAGGCUGUGCACUGAAAUCCAUGUAUUGGUUUCAGUGCCGGGCAACGGCUACAAACAGGAAAGAAAAACACCUGGCUUAACAGCCAACGACAUCAAAAACGACACACACAAGCUGUGUUUAACAAAGUGAAACAAGAAACGACAUAGGCUAAAGUCGUAUCACUUAAAACAGUAAAAUGAAUUAAAUGAAACGACACUCAAACUUGGCGUUUUAGCUGCUGAAGUGAAGAAACGGCAUCGUACUGUACAUCCUUCUUCUUCUUCUCCCUUAUUCAGCCUCUGACUCUUCCCGCCAAGUCUGCUCCUUAAAUCUCCAGAAUUGUGAUCAUCUUCCAACAUCAUCCCAUACCAAGGAAGCAGAAACUAUAGAUUUAUCUAUUGUUCCUUCAAUGGUUAGUGAAAAUGGUAGCUUCUGCCCGAGAGAUUUGAAUGACAGAACAUUAGGAUUAGCUUGGAUUUUAAGUGCUCCUGCUAGGGAAGUCACUUUUGCUCUGUAUAUAGACCAUGUGGGAUGAAAUGAUUUAACGUAGGCAGCUGCUGCAGAAACAUGGGGGCAAGCCAUUGAUGUUCCUGAGAUUAUGUUGAAUGGCUCAAAUCUGUUAUCGCCUUUAGUUUCAGAAACAGGGGAAAUUAAGGACCACGCAGCUAGAAUGUGGACCCCUGGUGCAGAUAAAUCUGGCUGUAAUUGUUAACAACAAUUUAAUGUAAUAAUCAGUCAUAUAGAAGGGUAUAUGUACAUAAAGAUUAAUUUUCCAUCAACUUACCUUGAGUAUGUCAGGUGUAAUUGGAUUCGGACCGCUUGAUGAGCAAGAGACUACAUAAGGAGCCAGUGAGUCAUUAGCCUCCUUACUCUUAAAUAUAGUUGCAGUUAGGGUACCGCAACUUAUGUUGAAAGUGUAUAACUAUCUGUUAGAUGAUCUUCAUUUAUGAUAGAAAGGGGUAUAAAUUUAUACUCAAUGAAAUUGACAAAAUGAAAAUCUUGUGUUCCUACCUUGUCGAGUUUACAUAUACAAAAAUCUUGCUGCCAUCAACCAGAUCAAGGUAAGACGCAGGCAAAGGAAACAAGCUAGCAUCAUCAUUUGGAGCAUUGUCUCGCAGCAAUGUACCAACUGCACCAGCACGGAGUGGUUCUCUCCCGGAGACAAACCUAUCACAAAGAACAAUUUUACCCUUCACCAAAUUGCGGUCCAACGAGUUCUGAAGGCAAUUCCUGUGAUUUAAGAAUCAAUCCGAUAAUCAGAUGUCAUGUUUUAUGUUUCUCAUACUUAUAUUUGGCAUUUAAACAAGAAAUAAUGUCUACCCAAAUCUUUUUGUUUUUUGCCGUUUGUGUGAGUAUGGAUAUCAGUAGCAUUUCUGUUGACUGAUGACUCUCAUUUUUGUCCACAUACACACCAUGAAAGAAUGGAAGAUGUUUCUGAUAUUACCUGGAUGAAGCCCAUGUAAAGUUUCCAGUCGUGUUGGGUGCACUUCUACCAUGAAUUAUAGGGUACAUUUCAUUCUUGAGAUCAAAUGUAUUUAUUGAUACACCCUGGACAAAUGCCAGAUAAACAGAUAUUCAGAAUCUAGCUUAACUGGUUACUUCGGUGGUCAACUAGUCAUACUUCUUUUUAAAAGGAUCUAUCUGGUUUUAAUUCCUUGUUUCCAAACCCUCUAAAAGUUUUGCUUUUACUUGAUAGGAUAGGGACAAUUAAUGGCAUUACCUCAUAAAUCAUAUUGUUCCCAAGCUGGACCUUGGUGAGAAACUUUCGGUCUAUGGUGCUAGCAGAGAGGGUGUAAUACUCUUCACAAAAAAAUAAUAAUAAUAAUAAAUAAAUAAAUAAUAAAAUAAAAAAGAUUUUUUAAAAUAAAGUAGAUAUAUUUUAGUUAAUGUCAGACUAUAUUAUUAUAUUUAAAAGAAAAUCAAUCAAUCUUACCUCAUCUUAUAAAAAAAAUCAAUUAAUCUUAUCAUAUUUUAAAAUAAAAGUAAUAAGUUUUAUCUCAACAGUUUAAAAGAAAAGGUAAAAAGCUCACGUCAGUUUAUUUCAUCAGACUCAAACGAUAAGUAAUCAGAAGAGUUUAACAUCAGAGAAGAAGAAAGACAGAGGAAAAGGAAAAGUAUUCAAGGGAUUGCUGAUUAAGGUAUAUUUAUGGUUGUAUUUUCAUAGUUUAGAUAAAAAAUCCCUAAAUUAAUUAUAUUUUCUUACCUUUUAUUCAAAUUUGGCACUUUUUCGAUGACUUUCCGAUGGUAUGAUGGGUACCAAUGGAAAGGUCUUGAAAAGAUCUUUCCAAUGAUUUUCGUAGCAUCUUGUUUGGUUUUGCGGUUAAGAAGAUAUGAAUUUUUGAAAUUAAUUAGAAACUUAGUUUUCAACAGUUUGACAACCCAACUUUGGGUCACUGGACUCUAUAUUCCGGUAACAUUUUUGGUUGUUUCUUUGAGGGUUUUUGUAGUAUGAAAUGAAAUGUUUAAUUUGGCGUCAAUAGCUCGGUUAGGGGCUUCUUAUGUUAAGAGAAUUAAAGCCUCAAAGUACACUCAAUGAUACUGAAAACCCAAAAAUUUGGGUUUUUUUUAUGAUUUUGAUAUUUUUGGCUUUCAAAACUUGGGAAUUUUGUGUUCUUUUUAAUCUAAACAAAUUUUGGUGUUGUAGUAUGUUAUGAAUACUUCAUAUUGGUGUUGAUUUUAUCACUGAAAAUAGUUCAGGUUAAAAGUUAUGAGAGCUUAUGACCAUCCAGAUUCUGAAAAUUUCAGAAAAUAAAAAUUUUUUUAAAUUUUUUUAAAAUUUGAUUUUAAUUAAUAUGUGAUAAAUUCUAUUGUAAACUUCAUGAAUAUUGGAUAUGUGAUUUCUAUUGCAUUUUUAUAUCAAAAAGUGUGUAUCUUUAUAUUUUAUAAAUUUAUUUCUUAAAUUAUAGAUUUUAUUAAAAUAUCAAAAAUUUAUGAAAAAUUAUAAAUAUGAUUUUUAUGAAUGAAAUUAGUGUUAUCUUUCUAUCUGAAAUUAGAAUCCUUAUUGAUUUUAUGAUUUAAGUUUAAUUCUCAACUUUAUUGAAAAUUUUAUUAAUUCAAAAAUAUAUAUAAUAAUAAAAUAUUACCUUAUUAAUCGAAAUGUUUUUAAAUUGUAAUAGAGGUCGCUACACACCCUAAUUACUUAGGAUGGCCAAUGGAAGUCACCUUUAAGGAUUUAUUUGCAAAUUCAGUUCUGAUUUUGUAUGUAUUUUCUUUUUUUAUUAAGCUACUAAGAGGAUUUUUUGAUUUGCUACUUGAAAGUGAAAUUGAAAAAAUCAAGUAAGUGACUUAUAUCCCUUCGAUGUUCUCACACCUUAAAAAUUAGCCUCAAUGUGAAUUUGAAUUUCAUAUAUUAUGUACAAUAUGUUUUAUCCUAUGGUUUGUAAAAGUCGGAUUUAGUAUGCAAAAUAUAUAUACAUGAUUUUCGUAUGUUGGAUCUUGGAAUGUAAAAUUUUUGUGAAAUAUGAUUUCAGAUUUUAAAAUAUGAAUAUGAUUUUUGUCUAGCAUAUGCAUAUAUGAUUAUCUUAGUGAUUACAUAUGUAACUACUUAAUUUGAAUUAAAUAUAUUUUUUAUGUGCACGAUAUGUGUUUUGUGAAACUGAAUAUUACCAUUGUGUGAAUUUGGGUAAUCUAAAAAUAUACAUUUCUGUUUUGUGUCCUAGUAUGGCUAUUCUCUGACCCUGUCAAUGGGGGUUAAAUGUUGACCAUGUCGACAUAUAUUCUGUGAUUAUAGAUCGACCUCCCAACCGCACCACUUGUUACAAAAUAGUAGUAUUUGUGAUAUCUGUUCAGUGCAGCCAAUGGUUGCUUUUGAUAUAAUUCUGACUUGUGCCACCGGGGUUAAUUGUGGAUUUAUUUCUGACCUAUGUCACGGGGGUUAAGUGUGGUCGUAGAAUGUUGCAGGAGACAACUAAAAUUUCAAAUAUUUGUGAAAUAUGUUUGUUAUGUUAUCUGAAAUUAGAAAUUUUAAAGCAUAUGAUUAUAAAUAAGAUUAUAUGAUAUUUUUGUUUUGAUAUUUAUAUUAAUGACAUUUUGGCCUAAAUAUUUUAAGCAUGCUUAAUCCGGGUAAAAGGAUGUUAGUUACUUGCUGAGUAGUUGGACUCACUCCUUUUUUAAAAUUUUUUUUAGGUUGUGAUUUGGUCAACCACACGAGAAUUUCGAGGGUGAUGUUUAAUCUAGUAGCAUUUAAAUUAUCUAGGAUUUAUUUAAAUAUUAUGAACAUCGAGCCAUCUUAAUUAGUAUUCAGACUUUUAUCUUGACAUAGUAGCUUUACGAUUUUGAAGGCUUAAUUCUGAAUAUUGUCGAAUUAUAAUCUUUUGAAUUUCUACCGACAGAUUUAGUUUUAUAAAUCACUAAAUUCUUCAAGUAUUUUAGUCUCUUUUAAAUAGUGUUAUAAGGUAUAUGUAUUAAAGCUUUGCAUGUAUGUAAGAUUACAUCUUACAGGUAUGUGACGUCAAUCGUGCGUGUUAGAAAAUUAGUAAAAGAAAAGAGAAGAAAGUAAGGCUUAAGGCGUGCUGUAACGCACUUUUUUUAAAGAGUUGUUGCCUACUAUGGGGAUUCGCAGACAAGGACUCUCUAGGAUACAACAAGACUUUUUGCAAAAUGCUUUUUAAUGAAUUCUGAUUUGGAAGUAUGUUCUUUUAUAGACAAUGACAGGUUGUGUUUGUUGUCUUUCAACAGAUGCGUUCUUUUUAUUUUCAAUAGAUGUGUCUGUACUAUUUUAACAGAUGUGUCUGUUGUAUUUCAACAGACGUAUCUAUAACUUUCAAUAGUUGUGUUUAUUGUAAAUACUUAUUAUUUAUUUAUUUUUAUUUUAUUAUUUUUUAAGAGUUAUAUUUAUUCUUAAAUAGUCACACCUGAAUACUUAUCUUCCAACAAAUAUUACAAACUAUUCAACAAUCCUCUGCUAGUUUGUAAUAUUAAUAAUACUAUGUAUAAUAGAAAGUAUCUUAAAGAUUUGAACUUUCUAUUAGUGUAGAAAUUUUAAAGUUAAGAUGAAGUUAUUGGUAUCACAAGGAUUGAACCUCAACUCCUUAUGUCAUAAUCGAAAAUAUCGCACGCAUAGUUUUUUUUUUUUUUAAGAUUCUGCCAACUGCUUUAGCACUUAUAUGGCCUUGUGGUAAUCCUGGUUUCAUGAAUAUUUACAAGAAUAAACCCUCUUAAUUCUUGGUUGGAGUGCGCCACUCCAAUAUUCAUAUAGGUGAAAUUUGUAUGUAUGUCCCUAUUACUACAGGCAUUUGAUGUUUCCAUUAAGAGCCUUUUGCUCAUCCUUUUCUCAUAACAGUCGCACUAAAUGUUCUAGAAUGAGGCUAUUUGAAUAUUCUAGAAUGAGGCUAUUUAAUAUAAAAUUCAGUGCAUAAUGAUAGCAUAUAGUAACUUGUUAUUACCCAUUAAACUUUUAUUGUUAAUUUUGCUAACUCAAAGUUGGGUUUCCAUUAUUAAUGCUUUUAAUUCAAGGGUUUUAGCCCCAUUUCAGUAAAAGUUGACUUUAUAGCCUCUCUUGGAAAAGUUUUGGUAAGUGGAUCAGCCAAAUUCUUGCAAGAUUUAACAUAAACUAUUGUUAUAAUGUCAUUUGAAAUUAAUUCUCUUAUAUAGGCAUGUCGCAGACUCAUGUGUCUAGACUUUCCAUUAUAGAUCUUAUUAUGGGCUACACACAUUGUAGCCUCACUGUCACAAUAUAUAGAAAUGGCUGGCAUUGGUUGUGGCCACAACUUUAUAUCUAAUAACAAAUUUCUCAGCCAUUUUGUUUCUUUUCCAAUAGCUGCUAACGCUAAAAAUUUCGAUUCCAUUGUGGAAUACGUAAUACAAGUCUGCUUCUUAGAUGCUCAACUAAUGUCACCACCUCCUAAAGUAAAAAUCCAUCAUUAUGUGGAUUUAUUGUGAUCAAUACUAGUUAUCCAACUAGCAUAAAAAAAUCCUUCUAAUGCACUAGGAAAACCAUUGUAACAAAUUUCCAAAUUUUUUGUUUUCUUUAAAUAUCCAAGUACUCUAGUAAUAGCCUUCCAAUGAUCCUUGCUAGGUUUACUUGUAAACCUUGAAAGUUUACAAAUAGCAAAGGCUAUAUCAGGUCUGGUACAAUGCGUAACAUACAUAAUGCUGCCUAUGACACUAGCAUAUUCUAAUUGUGCCAUAACUCUUUCACAAUUCUUAGUCAAUUUUAUACUCGAAUCAUAAGGACUAUUAAACUCUUUGAUUUUCAAAUGACUAUAUUUGUGAAGAAUUUUCUCUAUGUAAUGUGAUUGAUUUAAUGAAAUCACAUUUUGAUCUCUUUUGACCUUAAUUCCCAAAAUUGUGUCAACUUCAUUAAGAUCUUUCAUUUUGAAAAAUGAAGUCAAAUAUUUCUUGGUUUCAACAACUCCAAGCAUAUUUGUACUAAAGAUCAACAAAUCAUCUACAUAAAGACAUAUGAUUACGCCAUAGCCUUUUGUAAAUUUAGAGUAAAUGCAUUUAUCUGCAUUAUUAUGUACAAAUCUAUUUGAAAGUAUAGUACUAUUAAACUUUUCAUGCCAUUGCUUUGGAGCUUGUUUUAAUCCAUAAAGAGAUUUGAUUAGUUUACAAACCUUCAUUUCAUUUUCAGGAAGUAUAAAACCUUCAGGUUGCUCCAUAUAUAUUUCUUCAUUAAGAUCUCCAUUUAAGAAGGCAGUUUUAACAUUCAUUUGAUUUACAUGUAAUUUAUGAAUGGAAGCCAAAGCCAAAAGUGUUCUUAUGGAUGUUAUUCUUGCUACCAAGGCGUAAGUAUCAAAAUAAUCUAUGCCUUUUUUUUGCGUAAAACCUUUGGCAACUAGUCUAGCUUUAAAGGUUUGCACUGAACCAUUUGUGUUAUAUUUUCUUCUAAAUACCCAUUUACAACCUAUGGGUUUUGAUCCAGGAGGAAGAUCAAUCAAAACCCAUGUUUUGUUUGAUAAGAUUGAAUUCAUUUCAUCAUUUAUUGCUUCUUUCCAAAAAGCUACAUCCCUUGAAGAUAUAGCUUUUUUAAAUGUUUUUGGAUCAUCUUCAACGUUUAACAAAAUAGGUAUCUUUUUACACACUUUGGUUUUACUUCCUUCCAUAAGGAAUGCUAAUGCUUGUGAGUCAACAAAAUCUAGAUCUAAGUGCUUUCUUUUUAUAGCUCUUUGACUUCUUCUCAGCUCAAUUUGAGUAUCAUCCCUUUUUUUUUUACUGAAUGUAUUAUGAGAAGUCAUAUCACUUUGGUCACAACUUGGAAUUAAGACAUUUUGUUCAUAAUCUUUAUUAUUAUAGUUAUACAUAAAUUUAUUUUCAAUAAAUUCAACAUGUAUAAACUCUACAAUAAUAUUUGAUUGUAAAUCUAAAAUUUUAUAUGCUUUAGAAUGUUGGGCAUAGCUAACAAAAAUGCCUUUUAUUGCUCUGGGUUCAAGCUUUGUUCUUUGUUAUUCAGAAACUUUAUAAAAAGCCAAGCACCCCCACAAUUUAAGAUAUUCCAAGUUUAGUUUUCUUCCAUUCCAAAGUUCAUAAAGUGAGACCUUAAUAUUUUUGGAAGGAACUUUAUUCAGUAUAUGACAUGCUGUUAAUAAGACUUCUCCCCAUAAAUCGUGUGAUAGAUGUGCAUUUAAUAACAUAGCAUUUGUCAUAUCAACCAAAGUUCUAUUUUUCCUUUCAGCUAAUCCAUUUUGUUGUGCUGAAUAAGGAGCACUUUUUUUAUGUAUCAAACCAUUUUCUUCACAAAAAUUAUCAAAUUUUGUAGGAAAAUAUUCUCCUCUUCUAUCACUUCUUAGAAUUUUGAUUUUUCUACCUUUUUGGUUUUCCACAACACAUUUAUAUUCUUUAAAUUUCUGAAAAGCUUCAUGUUUUGUUUUAAUUAAAUAGACAUAAGUGAACCUAGAAUAAUCAUCUAUGAAAGUUAUAAAAUAUCUUUUUCCUCCUCUAGUUAACUUUCCAUUUAAUUCACAUAUAUUAGAAUGCACAAUAUCUAAUAAUUAUGAGUUUCUUUUUACACUACGAAAAGGUUUCUUUGUCAUUUUUGCUUGUAUACAUAUUUCAUAUUUUUCCUAGUGCUCAUGUUUGCAUGCAAUAUAACCAUAUUUAGACAUAAAUUUCAUGGAACCAAAAUUUAAGUAUUCUAAUCUAGCAUGCCAUAAUAAAGAAUUAGACUUAAUAGUAUAAGCAGAAAUUAUAUUUAUUUCAUCAAUACUGAACUUGUACAUGCUAUUACAAAAGUAUCUUUUUCCUACAAAUAGGCCACCCUUGGAUAUUAUUACAUUAUCAGAUUCGAUUACAAUUUUAAAACCUUUAUUUGCAAGCAAAGAAGCAAAAACUAAAUUCUUUCGAAUUUUAGGAACAUGGAAUACAUUAAGUAAUGUCAACUUUUGUCCAGAAGUGAAGUUCAACUCAACAGUCCCUUUUCCUUCAACUUUGGUUGUAACAUGAUUUCCCAUCAAAAUAUUUUCUGAUUUAUUAAUUUUCAUGUAUGUCUUGAACAAGUUUUUGUCAUUGCAUACAUGAAUUGUAGCACCAGAAUCUAGCGACCAAUCUUUACUUUUAUUGGAAUCAACAGCCAUGUUCAAUUCUAUUACCAUUCCAAUAUUCAUUGUCGAAACCAUAGCAACCAAUUCAUUGACAGCCUCUUCUAUUAUGUUUGCUUUUUCAGGAUUUAUAGAACCAAAAUUCUUUCCUGCCUUCCUUGAUCUGCAUUCACUAAUCAUAUGGCCUUUCUUUCCACAAUGGAAACAUUUUAUAUUUUUCUUAUCUUUUUUCUUAAAGGCCUAUCUUGAAACUUUCUAUGCAAAUGACUUGAAUUUCAUAGAAUUCUUUCCAAAAUUUUUAGAAUUCUGACUCACAAGAUUCACCUUCGAAUCAGAGGGCUGAAAUAGCGUAUCAUGAGCACGUGUUUCACAUUCUAUUUGCAUCUGAGUCAUGAAUUGCUCUAUUGAUAGAGACUCCAUAGAAUGCAGAACCUUUUUUUUAUAGUUAUUCAAAGAUUGAGGCAAUUUAGAAAGAAUUGCACCUAUUUAUAGCGCAUCAGGAACCUUAACCUCAAGGUCUUUUAGUUUUGAACUAAAAUUUGUAAAUCAUGUACUUGAUCCAUGAUAGGCAGAUUGUUACUUAUCUUAAACUCAAAAUACUUUAAAGAUAAAAAUUUGUUAGUACCUAUUUUUUCGUUUUUAUAGGUAGUUUCCAAGGUUUCUCAAAUUUCUUUUGGAGUUUUCAGAUUGGAGUAGAGAUCAUAUAGAUGAUCUGUCAAAGUGUUUGAAAUGUGUCCACGACAUAUCAAUUCAUCUUCUUCACAUUUUUUUCUCUCUGCCUUUUGUGCAUCAAAGUCUUCAACAGUCGGUUCUGGAAGUACAGUAAGAGUUAGAUCUAGAACAUAAUAAACCUUCAAGGCUGUGAGCAAAAACACCAUCUUAUCUCUCCAGCGGGUGAAAUUGGUUCCAUCAAACCGAUCAAGUUUGAUGAAUUCUUGAUUCAUAAGUUGAAAUCUUGAAUUUGAAUUAGACUUCAUUGAACACAACUCUUUAAAAUUGUUAGAAAAUUAGUAGAAGAAGAAAAGAGAAGAAAGUAAGGCUUGAGGCGUGCUGUAACAUACUUUCUUUAAAGAGUUGUUGCCUACUAUGGGGAUUCGUACUAUGGGGAUUCGUAGACAAUGACUCUCCAGGAUACAACAAGCCUUUUUGCAGAAUGUUUUUUAAUGAAUUCUGAUUUGGAAGUAUGUUCUUUUAUAAACAGUAACAGGUUGUGUUUGUUGUCUUUCAACAUAUGCGUUUUUUUUAUUUUCAACAGAUGUGUCUGUACUGUUUUAACAGAUGUAUCUGUUGUAUUUCAACAGAUGUAUCUGUUGUAUUUCAACAGAUGUAUCUGUUGUAUUUCAACAGAUGUAUCUAUAACUUUCAAUAAUUGUGUUUAUUGUAAAUACUUAUUAUUUAUUUAUUUUUAUUUUAUUAUUUUUUAAGAGUUAUAUUUAUUCUUAAAUAGUCACACCUGAAUACUUAUCUUCCAACAAAUAUUACAAACUAUUCGACAGUGCGUUGGGGUUUGGGGCGUGACAGAGGGGCCAUGACGAAAAAUUGGUGAUGGUUGCACGGUCAGGACCCUGAUUACCUGCAGAGUUUACUGUCAACACGCCGUUUCUCAUGGCAUGAAACGCUCCAAUUGCAAUAGAAUCGUUGAAAUAGUCUUUAGGAGUUGCUGCUCCUAUUGAAAGAGAUAUAAUGUCAACCCCAUCUGCAAUUGCUUCAUCAAAAGCUGCCAGAAUGUCAGCAUCAUAACAACCAUCAGACCAGCAAAUCUUGUACAAGGCAAUACGUGCCGAUGGAACCCCUCCAAGAGCUGUUCCCAAGGCAAAACCAAACAGGCUUGCCCUGUUAACCAACCCUCCGGCUGCUGUUGAUGCAGUAUGAGUCCCAUGGCCACUAGUAUCUCGAGGAGAAACAAUGUCAUCUGGGCCAAAUAACCCAUCGCUCCGGUAAUGCUGUGCUCCAAUGAUCUUACUGCAUUUGGAUUCCGGACAGCAAUAUUUGUCAAACUUCAGACAGUACUUUGACUGACUCUCCAAAGACUAUAAUAACAAAUAUUUAUGUAAGAUGCAUACUUGUUGCAAGUGAAAUUGCCACCUGCUGUUUGACAAUUGCCUUUCCAUUUGCUGGGAGGUGGACCAAAUCCUUUGUCAUUAAAACUUUCAGAUUCCGGCCAGAUUCCAGUGUCUAAAACUCCAAUGAUUACAUCACUUUCCGAAGCUGAUCUUUCCACUUAUUGGGAGAACCCCUUGACGUCCCAUGACCUUGUUGUAUGGAGGUCUCUCUUUUCAUUCGGAAACACAGAUACCACACCAUUCAUUCCUGAACGUCGAAAGAUGGUGUUAACUGAUUUCAAGAAAACUAUUAGAAAAGUGAUCUUCAUUUGGAUGAUGAAAAGCUGAGUUGGUUGUUGAAGAGGAGAAAACCAGAUAGCGGGCUGCAACGGUAACUUGAAGUUCUGAAGUAGCGAUUGGUGUCAAAACGCAGCAAGCAGGAGUCGUUUUUACUUUACUGAAUUUUUUGUUAAUGAAACGUUGCAGGAGUCUGUCGUUUUACUGAGUCUUCUUUUAUGUUGUUACUCAUACGAUGUCGUUUACUAUUUCUUGUAAGGCUUUAAGCCAAGUUUGGUUCAGUUUCUUAUGUGCUCAGACUUAUUAGGACUUCAGGUUUAGAGCUGGGCUUCAGCUGCCUGAUGUUCAUGUAAUCUUUUUCUUCAUCAUUUCUUCUGUAAAGCUGCAAUUUCACUUUCCCAAAAACGAAAUGGUGAAAGAUUCAUAUGAGUUUAUUGCAUUGAUGAGGGUAAAUACAUAGUAAAGUUAUUUAUAAGAUACUAUGAUAUUUCAAAUAAAUACAAUGAUGGGACUCCUCACUUUGUGUACACCAUCAUCCCAUUCCAAAGAAGCAGAAACUAUAGCUUUAUCUGUUGUUCCUUCAAUUGCUAGCUCAAAUGAUAGCUUUUGCCCGAGAGAUGUGAAUGACAGAACAUUAGGAUUAACUUGUAUCUUAAGUGCUCCUGCUGGAGCAGUAACUGUUGCUGUAUAUGUAGACAUUGGUGAUCCCACAUUUGUGACAGUCCUGUUGAAGGUGCGGCUAACUGGUUUCAAGGGUGAGGUAAAAAGAGCAAACGAAGGAUAGUUUAGAUCCCAAACUGUUCCAUUCGUAGCUUCAGAACAAGUAGCAUUAUCCCUAGUGACUAGUUGUAGAAACCGAGUGCUAUAUCCUUGUCCGCAUAAAAAUUUUAUGUAGUCAACUUCCUCAGA